GACGAACGCUGGCGGCAUGCCUAACACAUGCAAGUCGAACGAUACCUUCGGGUCUAGUGGCGCACGGGUGCAUAACGCGUUGGAACCUGCCCUUAGGUUCCGAAUAACUCCCCGAACCGGUUGCUACUGCCGGAUAAUGUCUUCGGACCCACGCUUUAUCGCCUUUGGGUGGGCCCGCGUUGGAUUGGCUGGUUGGUAGGGUAAAAGCCUACCAAGGCGACGAUGCAUAGCUGGUCGGAGAAGAUGAUCAGCCACCCUGGGACUGCGACACGGACCAGACCCCUACGGAGGGCAGCGGUAGAGAAUAUUGGAGGAGGGGCGAAAGUCUGAUCCAGCAAUGCCGCGGGAGUGAUGAAGGGCUUAGGGAUGUAAAUCUCUCUUACCCGGGAUGAAAAUGACAGUACCGGGAGAAGAAGCACCGGCUAACUCCGUG
rnacentral:rRNA from 1 species